GCAAGAGAGGAUUCAGUCUACAGAACAAUUAGAUAGGUUCUAGCUCAGAGCUAGAUGCUGCAGAAUUUUCGGCUAAAAUCCCUACCACAAUGACCGCGAACCAUUGAGCUGUGCGAACGUACGCGUGAAAGAUAAUGAUACGUAUACUUUGUACGUGAAACAUAACAUAGAAUUUACAUAAUAUAACGCGAAAUUUUUAAUCGAUUGAUCGGCGAAGAGCAUAUAAUCGAUCGCUUAAGAUGGGUACCACUAUUGGACUGUUUCUGUUCUCCGUUUUGUGCGCAAGUGUCGGCGGUGUGCAAGGGGUGUGUAAUCACGUUAAAAACGACGACUUGGUAGAAUACUCUUGUGAGGGCGGUCAACUUUCCGAUCUGAGCGAUUUACCACCGUCAACUGGAAAAAUUCGAAUCUACAACAUGCCCAUCCAACGAAUAACUCCGGACACAUUUUCGAUGUUCGGUUCCGACCUUUGGGUCUUGGGUUGCACUCAUUGCAGUAUAAUUGACAUCGAACCAGGAUCUUUUCAACAGUUCGAUAAUCUUCAGCAUUUGAGUUUAGACAAUAACCAUUUGACUACCGUGAAAGAGUCGUCGUUUAGGGGUUUAGAUUCGUUAACGUACUUAGAUCUGAAUUAUAACAACAUAGAAUCAAUUGAAGAUGGGGUAUUCAGGAAUCUACCCAAUUUAGUCGAUAUGAGAUUAUCUGGCAAUCGUUUAGAAUGCUUGAAUCUUGUUGCCUUGGCACAGCUGAAAGAACUGAAGAGGAUGUUUCUCAGUGAGAAUUCCGAGUUUAAAUGUCCUAACGCUAUUACAACUUUCCUGGAGAAUCGUGGUAUCAGUUUCGAAAAGGAUCCAGAAUGGAGCAGACAAUCGACUGAUUUAAUUAGCGUUCCAAUUCCACCAAUUCCACACGAAGACUACGAUUAUUACGAUGGAUCCAUCACGGAUGAAUGGACGACGUCGCUACCCCCUUACCGUGAAAGGCUACACCCCACGUCCACUCCUGCUGCGGCACCGACAGCGUCCUACCCCCCAUCAAGGUUGUUCACAACCGAAGAAGUGGUCUAUCGCCCAAUGUACAGUACACAAGAUUCGAGAAUGGCUACGAGAACAUCGACAGUUCGCUAUGAUGAUUCAGCGUACGACUAUACAAGAAGACCUUAUGCUCCUCCGACCAUCACACCAGUCGACGCAACGCAACCACCAGAAAUGAUGCAACACGGUAGCCAGGAUACAACGACCUGGAGAUCUUGGCCGAACUUCGUGGAACCCAGCAGUGUUUGGCCCGAAUACCCGCCCCAUAGAAAUCAGGACAAACAGUACACCGACCAACCCGAUUAUUUCAGCCCGCCUAACUCGUUUUCGCUGGCACCCGGCCCAGGUGAUCGCCAGACGUCAUCGCCCUACGUGGAACUCGUGGAACAGACCACAGGUCAUGGUACCGACUGGUCGGAAAGAAAUCCAUCAAACGUACAAUAUCCACCGAACGGAGAUCCUCAGUUCGACGACGGAACACGGAAGCACAGCAUCCCGUCAGUGGAUCCGAUCGAAGUAAAUCACAAUGUUCGCCCUUUACCCCCGGUGAUUGUCCACCCCGCGUCACCUGACAACGUGUUCCAACCCCCUUACUACGAGCACCCGGUCACUGUGCACGCACCGCCGUCGAUGGUCAAUCAGCGACAACAGGAAGAAGGAACUCCGAGUAUCGUGUCAAUCGAAACGACCACCGACAAGCCAUUGCCGAAUUGCCCGCCUACAAAUUUAUCAUCGUCAAUACGAAGCUCUUUGACCACGAUCGUCGUCUCGAUUCUCCUGGUGGUCACGCGUCACGUCUUUGUGGAGGGAUUUUAGCUAAAAGUUUCACUCUCGUCUAAUACCGAGUCAAUAAUUGAAUAUUUCACGAAUCUCGGACAAUGAAAUAAAUUAUGCGGGAACCUGUGCGGGUGAACAUGAAUAGAAUUCAAUAGAACGCUGUUUAUCGUGCUAUUUAAUCGCGGAUUCUAGAUGAUCGAAGUGCAGUUCGAUUUCUUUGUUUUCUUUUCUACGUCGACUUAUGAACUUGAUUGCAAGAAUCUACCUAACGAUCGAUUCUUCAGAAACACUGCAGAGCCUGCGGAAUCCAUAGUGGUUAAUUCCCACGAAAUUCCACAACGAUGACUGGCGGCGAAGGGAAUCCGCUUUCGUUACGCAACCAGGCUGCCUCGAACCCGUUGACUAUUUUCAAUUAUUUCGUGAUUCCGAUGAUUUCCGGAGCUUCGGGCUCGCGGCCAGAUGUGUCGUUCGCUCUAGACACUCGGAGACGAGGUAAUUCAAGGUUGCGGAAGCGGCUCCCUCCGAUGCACUUGUGUGCACUCAGCGAGGGUAUUUUGGCACGCCUCGGAUUCGCAAAUAGCCGGCCAGAGGCUAUCGAUGAUGCAAAGCCAAAUUGUUUUAAGAACCGUUAAACCUUUAUUUAUUUUGUUUGGAGAAAUUGUAAUCGAAUAACGUAAUCACGAUUGCAAUUAAAGAAAUGCACCAAAAUAACGGUUCAUUAAAUUUUACAUAUACAGAAGACAUCAAAUGGAGCUUAUUUGGAUAUUUUAUACAUGUUCAUGUGUAUAUUUUAUAUAUUUUGAUUUAAUUUAAUUCUUAAUUUCUUGAUAACUGAAUCAGAGAUCAGUUCUGGUUGACAAAUUACAUGUGCAAGUGCAUACCAGAUGCAAGUGCAGUACUAAUCUGAUGCCUGGUUGAAGUGGCAUUGGCACGUCGUGAUCUGCACUUCGAUUACAUGGGCGAAAGAAGCAGAGGAAGCCGAACGCUUGGAAAAGAUGCUGAAAAUCGAAAACGAAGAAAACGCAGCCGCGAACGAUUUG